CAUAAUAAUAAUUAAGAACACAAUUACUAGGUCAUCUGAUAAUGGAAUACACAUAAUAAUUCUUGGCUAAUUGCAUUGAAAAUUGGAAAUGUAUGUACUUAAAUUGACUGAUAAAUUGCCCAAGAGAACUUUCUUGGAAUAAUUAUGGAUGGGUGUACCCAGAAUUCCGCUUUCGCCGUCUUUACAUAUGGUAGGAUAAUUUAAUUACUAUAACUCCGUUACUGCAAUUUGAGCAUAUAGCCUGUUAAACACCCAAACAAGUGAAAUAAUUUUCAGUUACAAAAUUCAAUUUACAGAAUACUAGAAAUAAUCAUGCAUGUAGAUGUUGCAUGUGAUAGUAUUGUAGGAAAAUUAAUCAAAACUUGGUUGUUAAUUAUGGGUUUAAUUAUAUUAACUGGUGGGUAUUUGAAGGGGCGGAGUUUUAUAUACUACCAAGUAUGCCACAAAUUUCAGUUUCAGAACUGAUGCUUGUGAAAAGUGUGCUAUGUUGGGUUGAUAAAACAGUGGCUCUAAGCGUGGACAAAUGGUUAGCUUUAUAUUUUCUCCAUUACUUUAUAAAAGACUAGGAACUAUAAAGUGAAAAGAGGAAAAGGCGUUGGGUACGUGAUAUUGGAGUAUCAUCAUCCAUUUUAGUCCAUCUAAUUAUUAGGAAUCUUAAAAGAUAAGUUGGUUGGAUUUAGUCCAUUGAAUGCUAAUGGAGUUAUCUUAAAACUAGUUUCCAGUUUCCUUGACUGUUUUUCCAAUCAAAGUUUUCUGUUUUGGCUACCUCUCUUAAAACUGGCAAAUCUGAUACUGAUUUGUUAGUGAGUUGGUGCUUGGCAAGGCAGUAGGCAAACUCAGCUUAUGUAUUACUCCGGACUGUUUUCCGUGAGCCAAUCUUGUGUAAGAACAUUCCUAGGAUUGUUUCUGACAUGCUUUUGGUGAUCAAUAUCGAGCCACUGAUACACUCAUCCCAGGUCUUGGAAAGCUUAAAUUGCUAUUCGUCCCAGAGGAUGGAAACUGGAAAGGAUCAUGAUGUACACGACUUUAAAGGGCCUGGAGUCGCAUUGGCAAUGUAUAACAUUGAUUCGAUUCAAGUGAAUUCCACAAGUUGCUCGAGGUUCUGGUUGUGGACAAACGAUUAAGGCGGUAGUACGCAUACGAGAUUGUCUUCACUUGUGUGCUUUUCGAAGUUUUAAGGCAUUAAGUGGACAAUCUAGGGGAAGUAAAUUGACAUGGCAUUUGGGACAGUGUCUUCAACAAUUGGUUGGACGUGAGUGUGGCUACUACGUCAUGCGUUAUAUGUACGAAAUACUUGAACAUCACCAUAGCAGUGAAGAUCUUAUUCAGGAUUUUUCAAGAACUAAACCGUACACCGAGGAGGAGAUAAAUGAGAUCCGAGAUAUUUGGGCAGAGUAUUUUAUAUGUAAUGUUUGACUCUUGUUUUGGAUUAUAGGCUUGAAAUGAAGUAAUUUGGUGUUGGGAUGAUGAGUAUAAAGUCUAUGAUAUUGAGAUGUAAAUUAUUGGACAGGUUGUUAAUAUAAUGCCGUCAUUCCCAAUUUUAUGGGUAGGCCAAAUUA